GGUUCCAUAGAGUAGUGUCUAACACGUCUCCUUUACACGCAGAAGGUCCUGGAUUCCAGCCCCAGUGGAGCCA
rfam:Pteropus alecto contig14633, whole genome shotgun sequence.